AGUGAACGCUGGCGGUAGGCCUAACACAUGCAAGUCGAACGGCAGCACAGUAAGAGCUUGCUCUUACGGGUGGCGAGUGGCGGACGGGUGAGGAAUACAUCGGAAUCUACUUUUUCGUGGGGGAUAACGUAGGGAAGCUUACGCUAAUACCGCAUACGACCUACGGGUGAAAGCAGGGGAUCUUCGGACCUUGCGCGAUUGAAUGAGCCGAUGUCGGAUUAGCUAGUUGGCGGGGUAAAGGCCCACCAAGGCGACGAUCCGUAGCUGGUCUGAGAGGAUGAUCAGCCACACUGGAACUGAGACACGGUCCAGACUCCUACGGGAGGCAGCAGUGGGGAAUAUUGGACAAUGGGCGCAAGCCUGAUCCAGCCAUACCGCGUGGGUGAAGAAGGCCUUCGGGUUGUAAAGCCCUUUUGUUGGGAAAGAAAAGCAGCAGGUUAAUACCCCGCUGUUCUGACGGUACCCAAAGACUAAGCACCGGCUAACUUCGUG
rnacentral:rRNA from 1 species